rnacentral:rRNA from 1 species
CGAAAGCCUGAUACCAGCCAAGCCGCGUGCAGGAUGAAGGCCUUAUGGGUGGAAAACUGUUUUUAUACGGGGAUAAAGUGGGGGACCGUGUUCCAUUAUUUGUAUGGUACUAGCUAUCGAAUAAGGACCGGCUAAUUCCAUG